rnacentral:lncRNA from 1 species
ACACAGAAAAGAGCAUCAAAAGCAACCUUCCAAUAUCUGAUAAUUUUUUAAAUUUUUUACAUGUGAUCAGCACUUAAAUUUAAUCCUUAUAAGAAAAUUAUCAGAUAAAAAAAGUCACUUAAGACUCCUUAAACAGAAGGAGUCUUUGCAUCCCUUCGCGCAUUCAGAAAACUUGUUGCACACGCGGCAAUGUUCUAAGAAUUUUUUCACACAUAAUCUGAUAGAUUUUUCAUACUUUAAAUUAUGUUCUAGGUGGUUCAUGAUCUGAUCUAAUUGCUAUA